rnacentral:rRNA from 1 species
GACGAACGCUGGCGGCGUGCUUAACACAUGCAAGUCGAACGGAAAGGCCCUGCUUUUGUGGGGUGCUCGAGUGGCGAACGGGUGAGUAACCCGUGAGUAACCUGCCCUUGCCUUUGGGAUAACUUCAGGAAACUGGGGCUAAUACCGGAUAGGAGCUCCUGCUGCAUGGUGGGGGUUGGUAAGUUUAGGCGGUUGGGGAUGGACUCGCGGCGUAUCAGCUUGUUGGUGGGGUAGUGGCUUACCAUGGCUUUGAAGGGUAGCCGGCCUGAGAGGGUGACCGGACACAUUGGGACUGAGAUGCGACCCAGACUCCUACGGGAGGCAGCAGUGGGGUAUAGUGCACAAUGGGCGGAAGCCUGAUGCAGCAAAGCCGCGUGCGGUAUGACGGCCUUCGGGUUGUAUACCACUUUCGCCUGUGACGAAGCGUGAGUGACGGUAAUGGGUAAAGAAGCACCGGCUAACUACGUG